rnacentral:rRNA from 1 species
UGGGGAAUAUUGCACAAUGGGCGCAAGCCUGAUGCAGCGACGCCGCGUNCGGGAUGGAGGCCUUCGGUUGUAACCGCUUUGUUCAAGGGCAAGGCACGGUCUUUGGCCGUGUUGAGUGGAUUGUUCG